rnacentral:rRNA from 1 species
AUUGAACGCUGGCGGAAUGCUUUACACAUGCAAGUUGAGCGGCAGCACGGGGGCAACCCUGGUGGCGAGCGGCGAACGGGUGAGUAAUACAUCGGAACAUGCCCAGUCGUGGGGGAUAACACUUCGAAAGAAGUGCUAAUACCGCAUACGUCCUGAGGGAGAAAGCGGGGGAUCGCAAGACCUCGCGCGAUUGGAGUGGCCGAUGUCAGAUUAGCUAGUUGGUGGGGUAAAGGCCUACCAAGGCAACGAUCUGUAGCUGGUCUGAGAGGAUGAUCAGCCACACUGGGACUGAGACACGGCCCAGACUCCUACGGGAGGCAGCAGUGGGGAAUUUUGGACAAUGGGGGCAACCCUGAUCCAGCCAUUCCGCGUGAGUGAAGAAGGCCUUCGGGUUGUAAAGCUCUUUCGGCAGGAACGAAACGGCGAGCUCUAACAUAGCUUGCUAAUGACGGUACCUGAAGAAGAAGCACCGGCUAACUACGUG